rnacentral:rRNA from 1 species
GAUUUACUCGUUAAGGGUGUGUUAACGUAGCAUAGUUAUACAUUGAUUAUCGAGUGGUAAUGAUAUGUUUAUCGAUUUUCAUGAUAGCUAGUUUAUUGAUGUAAAAUAUUUAAGUAUUGUAGUGCUAAUAGCAAAUAUGAAAUGUUUUAGCAUUAGCUUAUUAUAUGGGGGAUAAGCUUCAUAUAAAAUUACAGAGCUCAUUAAUUUUUAUUCAUUGUUGUGAUUUAAGUAGAAUUAAUAAUGUUUUUCUUUAAAAGUAGUUUAAAUCGUGAGUUGUGGUUAAGGCUCGUGUGAUCUAGUCAAUAAAUUUUUAUUAAUUAAUUUAUAAAUAAAUAUAAUGUUAGUAUGAGUAUUAGUUUAUUAGUUUUGAUAAUUUUUGAGGACGCUAUAGCUGUAAAUAGUUAUUGUUGACGGCAAGUUAUUUAAGUGAGGUAAAGGAAUUCGGCAAAUAUUAAUCUCGCCUGUUUAUCAAAAACAUGUCUCUUUGUUGAUACUUAGAUGAAGAG